GCCGGAGUGGCCCAGUGGUAAGGCGUCUGUCUCGUAAACAGAAGAUCCAUGGUUCGAUUCCGUGUUUCGGCA